rnacentral:rRNA from 1 species
GAUGAACGCUAGCGACAGGCCUAACACAUGCAAGUCGAGGGGCAUCGGGGUGUAGCAAUACGCUGCCGGCGACCGGCGGAUGGGUGAGUAACGCGUAUGCAACCUGCCUUCAGCAGGGGGAUAGCCCGUUGAAAGACGGAUUAAUACCCCGUAACACAGGGGCUCCGCAUGGAGAUUAUUGUUAAAGGGAUGCUUCCUUCGGGGAGUAUUCCGGCUGAAGAUGGGCAUGCGUUCCAUUAGGUAGUUGGUUGAGGUAACGGCUCACCAAGCCUGCGAUGGAUAGGGGAACUGAGAGGUUGGUCCCCCACACUGGUACUGAGACACGGACCAGACUCCUACGGGAGGCAGCAGUGAGGAAUCUUGGUCAAUGGACGGAAGUCUGAACCAGCCAUGUCGCGUGAAGGAGGACGGCCCUAAGGGUUGUAAACUUCUUUUGCAGGGGAAUAAAGUAUUCCACGAGAUGGGAUAUUGCAAGUACGCUGCGAAUAAGGAUCGGCUAACUCCGU